UACGGAGGGUGCUAGCGUUGUUCGGAUAUACUGGGCGUAAAGCGCACGUAGGCGGCGCCGUAAGUCAGGGGUGAAAUCCCGGAGCUCAACUCCGGAACUGCCUCUGAAACUGCAGUGCUAGAAUCUUGGAGAGGCGAGUGGAAUUCCGAGUGUAGAGGUGAAAUUCGUAGAUAUUCGGAAGAACACCAGUGGCGAAGGCGACUCGCUGGACAAGUAUUGACGCUGAGGUGCGAAAGCGUGGGGAGCAAACAGG
rnacentral:rRNA from 1 species